GGGUGCGAUCAUACAGCACUAAUGCACCAUAUCCCAUCAGAACUCCGAAGUUAAACGUGCUUGGGUGAGAGUAGUAUUAUGAUGGAUGACCUCCCGAGAAGUCCUCAUGUUGCACCCU
rnacentral:rRNA from 1 species